AGAACGAACGCUGGCGGUCGUGCCUAACACAUGCAAGUCCAACGGUGAAAGGGGAGCAAUCCCCCGGUAGGGUGGCAAACGGGUGAGUAAUACAUGGGUGAUCUACCUUAGGGAUGGGGGAUAUCCUUCCCGAAAGGAGGGGCUAAUACCGAAUAUUGUCCGGAGCCGGUGAAGGGUUCCGGGGAAAGGGAGGCCUCUGACACAAGCUUUACGCCUUAAGAUGAGCCCAUGGCCCAUCAGCUAGUUGGUAGGGUAAAGGCCUA
rnacentral:rRNA from 1 species